rnacentral:rRNA from 1 species
GAUGAACGCUGGCGGCGUGCCUAAUACAUGCAAGUCGAGCGAACAGACGAGGAGCUUGCUCCUCUGACGUUAGCGGCGGACGGGUGAGUAACACGUGGAUAACCCACCUAUAAGACUGGGAUAACUUCGGGAAACCGGGGCUAAUACCGGAUAAUAUAUUGAACCGCAUGGUUCAAUAGUGAAAGACGGUUUUGCUGUCACUUAUAGAUGGAUCCGCGCCGCAUUAGCUAGUUGGUAAGGUAACGGCUUACCAAGGCAACGAUGCGUAGCCGACCUGAGAGGGUGAUCGGCCACACUGUAACUGAGACACGGUCCAGACUCCUACGGGAGGCAGCAGUAGGGAAUCUUCCGCAAUGGGCGAAAGCUUGACGGAGCAACGCCGCGUGAGUGAUGAAGGUCUUCGGAUCGUAAAACUCUGUUAUUAGGGAAGAACAAAUGUGUAAGUAACUAUGCACGUCUUGACGGUACCUAAUCAGAAAGCCACGGCUAACUACGUG